rnacentral:rRNA from 1 species
AUUGAACGCUGGCGGCAGGCCUAACACAUGCAAGUCGAGCGGAUGAAGGGAGCUUGCUCCUGGAUUCAGCGGCGGACGGGUGAGUAAUGCCUAGGAAUCUGCCUGGUAGUGGAGGAUAACGUCCGGAAACGGGCGCUAAUACCGCAUACGUCCUGAGGGAGAAAGUGGGGGAUCUUCGGACCUCACGCUAUCAGAUGAGCCUAGGUCGGAUUAGCUAGUUGGUGGGGUAAAGGCCUACCAAGGCGACGAUCCGUAACUGGUCUGAGAGGAUGAUCAGUCACACUGGAACUGAGACACGGUCCAGACUCCUACGGGAGGCAGCAGUGGGGAAUAUUGGACAAUGGGCGAAAGCCUGAUCCAGCCAUGCCGCGUGUGUGAAGAAGGUCUUCGGAUUGUAAAGCACUUUAAGUUGGGAGGAAGGGCAGUAAGUUAAUACCUUGCCGUUUUGACGUUACCAACAGAAUAAGCACCGGCUAACUUCGUG